UCCCCGGUAGCUCAACGGUAGAGCGGUCGGCUGUUAACCGAUUGGUCGUAGGUUCAAAUCCCACCCGGGGAG
rnacentral:tRNA from 2 species